UACGGGGGGAGCAAGCGUUGUUCGGAUUUACUGGGCGUAAAGGGCGCGUAGGCGGCCACCGCAAGUCAAUUGUGAAAUCUCCGGGCUUAACUCGGAAAGGUCAACUGAUACUGCGGGGCUAGAGUGCGGAAGGGGCAACUGGAAUUCUCGGUGUAGCGGUGAAAUGCGUAGAUAUUGGGAGGAACACCAGUGGCGAAGGCGGCUCACUGGACUGGUACUGACGCUGAGGCGCGAAAGCGUGGGGAGCAAACAGGG
rnacentral:rRNA from 1 species